AAGUCGUAACAAGGUUUCCGUAGGUGAACCUGCGGAAGGAUCAUUAACACGUAUCCACGUUGUGAACAUUGUACGAGUUACACCACGUCAUAAACCGGCAAUCUCUGGUAAAUCAUCGCCGAACAGUUUUGAUUCAGAGACCUCUGGGAAGGGUGUACGUAGUGCGAGGCAAUUGACCUGGCAUUCCUCUGCUUGUUAGGGUCUGAAAGUGUCACUAGCUAUGUACCAGUAACGAUCGCUGGAGGCCGACACGGCCGGCGACCAGGUCACUGGGCUACGGCCCCCCUGAUCACAACCUUUACAUGAAAACGGGCCUGCGCUGAGGUGCGGCCACCUCUAAUGCUUGAACAACUGUUAACAAUGGAUAUCUUGGUUCUC
rnacentral:misc_RNA from 1 species